AUUGAACGCUGGCGGCAUGCCUUACACAUGCAAGUCGAACGGCAGCGCGGACUUCGGUCUGGCGGCGAGUGGCGAACGGGUGAGUAAUGUAUCGGAACGUGCCCAGUAGCGGGGGAUAACUACUCGAAAGAGUAGCUAAUACCGCAUACGCCCUACGGGGGAAAGGGGGGGAUCGCAAGACCUCUCACUAUUGGAGCGGCCGAUAUCGGAUUAGCUAGUUGGUGAGGUAAAGGCUCACCAAGGCGACGAUCCGUAGCUGGUUUGAGAGGACGACCAGCCACACUGGGACUGAGACACGGCCCAGACUCCUACGGGAGGCAGCAGUGGGGAACUUUGGACAAUGGGGGCAACCCUGAUCCAGCCAUUCCGCGUGUGCGAUGAAGGCCUUCGGGUUGUAAAGCACUUUUGGCAGGAAAGAAAUCGCACGGAUUAAUACUCUGUGUGGAUGACGGUACCUGCAGAAUAAGCACCGGCUAACUACGUGCCAGCAGCCGCCGUAA
rnacentral:rRNA from 1 species